CCCCCCCAGGGCCGCCAUGGCCGAGGGGGCCCGGCACGGCUUCGAGCAGCUGGGGGUGGUGCGCGUGGCCCCCCGGGAUUUGGGGGGUCGCCCCGUCUCCUUGGAGGUCGCCCUGGAGGUCGCGGUGGUGGCCGGAGCUCGCGACGUCUGCGAGGAGGAGGAGGAGGAGGAAGGGGAGGAAGGGGAGGAAGAGGAGGAGGCGGCGCUGAAGUUCAUCUGCGAGCCCUCGUCCCUGUGGGCCGUUCGGGACCACCUGGAGGCUUCGGGGUUGCGCCCGCUCUCGGCCACCAUCGAGUACCUGCCCCGGGACCGCGUGGCGCUACCGGAGGGGCCGCGGGACGAGGCCGAGCGCCUCCUCCAAGCCCUCGGGGACCACCCCGAUGUCGUCAACAUCUACCACAACCUCCAGUAGGAACCCGGUGGGUUUGGGGGGGGACGUGGCCCCAAAAUUUGGGGUCACCUCCCCUCCCCCCGCGGUGCUGGUGACAAUAAAAACCCGUUUUUUGGGUGUUUUUCCGCCCCCGCGUGUAUUAAUUUUGACCGCGGCCCGUGGAGAUGCCCCACCCCAAAAAGAACCCCAAAGUUCGGGCCCCCCCCCAAAAAAAAACAGGGCGGGGGACCCCGGGGUCAGUCGUCGGAUCCCGUGGGGCUGCCGAGGAAGAUGUCGCCGUAGGGGAAGGCUUGGGCGGCGCCUUCCUCUUCCUCCUCCUCUUCAUCAUCCUCAUCGUCCUCAUCGUCCUCAUCGUCCUCCUCAUCCUCCUCCUCCUCCUCGGGGUGGACGAAGGCCCCGGCCUCCCCCUGGAGGUGCCUCCGGACCACGGGGUGGCUGAGGCCGAAAAAUUCCUCCCCGGCCCCGGGGCCGUGCGGAGACCCCCGGGGCCUCCCCCCGGCUUCCUCCAAGGCCUGGAGGAGGCGGGCGUGACAAAAAUCGGGCGUGGCACCCGAAAAAACCCUCCCGGGUUCGUCCUCGGCCACGAUUUCGCACCGGGGCCCGGCCACGAUCCGGCAAGUGUAGAGGCAACGCCGGGCCGGCCUCCGCAAACUGGCGAAGAGCCGGGUGCUCCGGUAGCCCGGGGGCAAGUUGGGGGCCCCCCCGGCCCCGACGACCCCCAAAUUUUGGAUAGUCAAAGGGCCGAGAGUCAACGGCAACGGCGGCGGCGCCGCGGCGCGCCGGGGCCGCGGCCCGGCGAGGUUGGAGGCCUCUUCGUUAGGCCUCAAGAUGGCCGCCGGGGCUGCGGACGCCAUUUUGGGGGCACCGCGGGGGCCGUUGGGCCGGGAGGGGUCUCGGGGGUCAUCGAGGGGGGCGUCGCGGGACCCCGAUGGCCUCAGCCCGUCCCUGGAGGCCGCCGGCCUCGCGUCGUCCCUUGACCCCAAAUCCCUUGACCCCAAAUCCCUUGAUCCUAUUGACCCCAAAUCCCUUGACCCCAUU
rnacentral:lncRNA from 1 species